GAUGAAGAACGCAGCGAAAUGCGAUACGUAAUGUGAAUUGCAAAUUCAGUGAAUCAUCGAGUCUUUGAACGCACAUUGCGCCCCCUGGUAUUCCGGGGGGCAUGCCUGUCCGAGCGUCAUUGCUACCCUCAAGCACGGCUUGUGUGUUGGGCCCCGUCCUCCGAUCCCGGGGGACGGGCCCGAAAGGCAGCGGCGGCACCGCGUCCGGUCCUCGAGCGUAUGGGGCUUUGUCACCCGCUCUGUAGGCCCGGCCGGCGCUUGCCGAUCAACCCAAAUUUUUAUCCAGGUUGACCUCGGAUCAGGUAGGGAUACCCGCUGAACUUAAGCAUAUCAAUAAGCGGAGGA
rnacentral:misc_RNA from 1 species